UGAGCAUGUCUAUUGGGAAAUGGGCCCCUCCCAGGAGCCAGUGCUAUUGAAUCUUAUAUAAGGUUCUCUGGCUGGACACUGCUCAGUCCACAGCCUGUUGGAGAACUGAGUGUCUUCCAGUGGAGUGAGGGUCUGGUUCGUGACAGCUUCGCGAUGUCCUCCCAGCAGAGCGCUUCCGCCAAAGGCUUCUCCAAAGGGUCUUCCCAGGGCCCCACCCCGUGCCCCGCCCCGGUGCCCUCCCGGGCCUCCUCCUCCUGCUGCGGCUGCGGCGACUCCGGCUCCGGCUGCUGCGGCUCCGGCUCCGGCUGCUGCGGGGACUCGGGCUGCUGCGGCUCCGUGUCCACCGGCUGCUGCUGCUUCCCCAGGAGGCGCCGCCGGCAGCGCAGGAGCGGGUGCGGGUGCUGCGGGGGCGGCAGCCAGAGUUCUCAGUGCUCCCCCAACACCCAGAGCCCGGGCUGCUGCGGCGGCUGCUGAGCGCACCGAGGCCCGGAAGAGCCUCUCCUGAACCACCCGCCAAUCAGAGAGCGGCCCGCCGCCGUGCUGCCACCCCGCCUCCUAUCACUGUGCUGGAAUUCCGGUCUGGGGCACCCCUUCGUCCCAGGCCCCCAUCAAGCUAACUGCACUUGGAUGUCCAGAAACCCACCCCGUUCUCAGCCCCACAAAACUUCCCGACCGCGUGAUUUUCCUGCCUGGGCACCUGAGAGCCAUGGUGGACUCUACUGUCUGCAUGGACACUGCACUCUGCUGUCUGCCUAGGCUAGCACACAGUAGGUGCUCAAUAAAUGCCUACUGAUUUGAUUGUCUUAAAGACAUGUCAUAAUAAAGCUACCUCCUGAGAACCCA